AUUGAACGCUGGCGGCAUGCUUUACACAUGCAAGUCGAACGGUAACAGGCCUUCGGGUGCUGUCGAGUGGCGAACGGGUGAGUAAUGCAUCGGAACGUACCCAGAGGUGGGGGAUAACGCAGCGAAAGCUGUGCUAAUACCGCAUGUGAUCUGAGGAUGAAAGCGGGGGACCGAGCAGCAAUGUUUGGCCUCGCGCCUUUGGAGCGGCCGAUGUCGGAUUAGCUAGUUGGUGGGGUAAAGGCCUACCAAGGCGACGAUCCGUAGCUGGUCUGAGAGGACGACCAGCCACACUGGGACUGAGACACGGCCCAGACUCCUACGGGAGGCAGCAGUGGGGAAUUUUGGACAAUGGGCGCAAACCUGAUCCAGCAAUGCCGCGUGAGGGAAGAAGGCCUUCGGGUUGUAAACCGCUUUUGGCAGGAACGAAACGGUGUCCGCUAAUACCGGGCGCUAAUGACGGUACCUGCAGAAUAAGCACCGGCUAACUACGUG
rnacentral:rRNA from 1 species